GAUGAAGAACGUAGCGAAAUGCGAUAAGUAAUGUGAAUUGCAGAAUUCAGUGAAUCAUCGAAUCUUUGAACGCACCUUGCGCCCUUUGGCUAUUCUGAAGGGCAUGCCUGUUUGAGUAUCGUGAACACCUCAACUCUCAUGGUCUGCCAUGAUGAGCUUGGACUUUGGGGGUCUUGCUGGCCUACUGUCAGCUCCUCUCAAAUGAAUCAGCUUACCAGUGUUUGGUGGCACCACAGGUGUGAUAACUAUCUACGCUGGUGGUUUUCUGCCAGGUAACCUCCAGUGAUGGAGGUUCGCUGGAGCUCACAAAUGUCUCUCCUCAGCGAGGACAGCUUUUUGAACGUUUGAUCUCAAAUCAGGUAGGACUACCCGCUGAACUUAAGCAUAUCAAUAAGCGGAGGA
rnacentral:misc_RNA from 1 species